rfam:Corchorus olitorius cultivar O-4 contig22810, whole genome shotgun sequence.
AUACCUUUCUCGGCCUUUUGGCUAAGAUCAAGUGUAGUAUCUGUUCUUAUCAAUUUAAUAUUUGAUAACGGGAACCUACGGGUUCCCGGCGGGUGAGCCUAUAGGUCUACCUAUAUGUUUGCCCGCCCAGAUGUUAAUUUUUUUAAAGGGGAAGGACCCAUUAUCUAGUAGCUUGCUACUUGGGGGUUCCUUCUAUGUUGUCCUUGCUUUGUACUCCCGCAAGGGCUUAGGACACCCACC